rnacentral:rRNA from 1 species
UACGGGGGGAGCAAGCGUUGUUCGGAUUUACUGGGCGUAAAGGGUGCGUAGGUGGCCAGGUAAGUUUGGUGUGAAAGCUCGGAGCUUAACUCCGAAAUGUCAUUGAAUACUAUCUGGCUGGAGGGUCGGAGGGGAGACUGGAAUUCUCGGUGUAGCAGUGAAAUGCGUAGAUAUCGAGAGGAACACCAGUGGCGAAGGCGAGUCUCUGGACGACUCCUGACACUGAGGCACGAAAGCCGGGGGAGCAAACAGG